rnacentral:rRNA from 1 species
GAUGAACGCUGACAGAAUGCUUAACACAUGCAAGUCAACUUGAAUUUGGGUUUUUAACUUAGAUUUGGGUGGCGGACGGGUGAGUAACGCGUAAAGAACUUGCCUCACAGCUAGGGACAACAUUUAGAAAUGAAUGCUAAUACCUGAUAUUAUGAUUUUAAGGCAUUUUAGAAUUAUGAAAGCUAUAAGCACUGUGAGAGAGCUUUGCGUCCCAUUAGCUAGUUGGAGAGGUAACAGCUCACCAAGGCGAUGAUGGGUAGCCGGCCUGAGAGGGUGAACGGCCACAAGGGGACUGAGACACGGCCCUUACUCCUACGGGAGGCAGCAGUGGGGAAUAUUGGACAAUGGACCGAGAGUCUGAUCCAGCAAUUCUGUGUGCACGAUGAAGUUUUUCGGAAUGUAAAGUGCUUUCAGUUGGGGAGAAAGAAAUGACGGUACCAACAGAAGAAGUGACGGCUAAAUACGUGCCAGCAGCCGCGGUAAUACGCAUGUCACGAGCGUUAUCCGGAUUUAUUGGGCGUAAAGCGCGUCUAGGUGGUUAUGUAAGUCUGAUGUGAAAAUGCAGGGCUCAACUUUGUAUUGCGUUGGAAACUGUAUAACUAGAGUACUGGAGAGGUAAGCGGAACUACAAGUGUAGAGGUGAAAUUCGUAGAUAUUUGUAGGAAUGCCGAUGGGGAAGCCAGCUUACUGGACAGAUACUGACGCUAAAGCGCGAAAGCGUGGGUAGCAAACAGG